GGGAAUAUGGCUUAGUAGUAGAGUGCUUGCCUAGCAUGCAUGAAGCCCUAGGUUCGAUUCCUCACUACCA
rnacentral:tRNA from 1 species